rnacentral:rRNA from 1 species
UAGCCGUAAACGAUACUCGCUAGGUGUCGGCCACGGUGCGACCGUUGUCGGUGCCGUAGGGAAGCCGUGAAGCGAGCCACCUGGGAAGUACGGCCGCAAGGCUAGAAACUUAAAGGAAUUGGGCGGGGGAGCACAACAACGGGUGGAGCUUGUCGGUUUAAUUGGAUUCAACGCCGGAAAUCUUACCGGGACCGACAGCAACAUGAAGCCAAGCUGAAGACUUUGCCGGAUUAGCUGAGAGGAGGUGCAUGGCGUAGUCGUGU